UGGGGUUCCAGAUGAAUGUGUCAUCUUGGC
rnacentral:piRNA from 1 species